rnacentral:rRNA from 1 species
CAAGUCGAACGGGACAGUUUUGUAGCAAUAUGAAACUGUUCAGUGGCGAACGGGUGCGUAACACGUGGGUCACAUUCCGGGAAGUGAGAAAUAGCCCAGGGAAACUUGGAUUAAUAUCUCAUGUGGUCGCAAGACUAAAGGCGCAAGCCGCUUCCUGAUUGGCCCGCGGCCUAUCAGCUAGCUGGUGAGGUAAUGGCUCACCAAGGCAACGACGGGUAGCUGGUCUGAGAGGACGACCAGCCACACUGGAACUGAGACACGGUCCAGACACCUACGGGUGGCAGCAGUCGAGAAUCUUUCACAAUGGGCGAAAGCCUGAUGGAGCGACGCCGCGUGGAGGUUAAGGUCUUCGGAUUGUAAACUCCUGUCAUGCGAGAACAAAGCCCGCAAGGGUGUGAUAGUACCGCAAGAGGAAGAGACGGCUAACUCUGUGCCAGCAGCCGCGGUAAUACAGAGGUCUCAAGCGUUGUUCGGAAUUACUGGGCGUAAAGGGUGCGCAGGCCGCGCGGGCAGUCAAAUGUGUAAUCCAGGGGCUCAACCCCUGAACUGCGCUUGAUACUUCCGCGCUCGAGCUUUGGAGAGGAGUCUGGAAUUCUCGGUGUAGCAGUGAAAUGCGUGGAUAUCGAGAAGAACACUUAGGGCGUAGGCAGGACUCUGGACAAAUGCUGACGCUCAUGCACGAAGGCUAGGGUAGCGAACGGGAUUAGAUACCCCGGUAGUCCUAGCUGUAAACGGUGCACGUUUGGUGUGGGAGGCAACCCCUUCCGUGCCGAAGCUAACGCGAUAAACGUGCCGCCUGGGUAGUACGGUCGCAAGACUAAAACUCAAAGAAAUUGACG